AUCACUUCUCAGCCCUUUGGCUAAGAUCAAGUAUAGUAUCUCUUCAUAUCAGUUUAAUAUCUGAUAUGUCCUCUAUCUGUUUACUAAAUAGAUUUUUGGAAUUAGGAGAUGGAAUAGGAGUUUACUCCAUCCAUUCCAUGCAUCGACCUAGAAUUGCAAUACUUCUAGGAACAGUGCACCAAAA
rnacentral:snRNA from 1 species